GACGAACGCUGGCGGCGUGCUUAACACAUGCAAGUCGAGCGGAAAGGCCCUGCUUUUGUGGGGUGCUCGAGUGGCGAACGGGUGAGUAACACGUGAGUAACCUGCCCUUGACUUUGGGAUAACUUCAGGAAACUGGGGCUAAUACCGGAUAGGAGCUCCUGCUGCAUGGUGGGGGUUGGAAAGUUUCGGCGGUUGGGGAUGGACUCGCGGCUUAUCAGCUUGUUGGUGUGGUAGUGGCUUACCAAGGCUUUGACGGGUAGCCGGCCUGAGAGGGUGACCGGCCACAUUGGGACUGAGAUACGGCCCAGACUCCUACGGGAGGCAGCAGUGGGGAAUAUUGCACAAUGGGCGGAAGCCUGAUGCAGCAACGCCGCGUGCGGGAUGACGGCCUUCGGGUUGUAAACCGCUUUCGCCUGUGACGAAGCGUGAGUGACGGUAAUGGGUAAAGAAGCACCGGCUAACUACGUG
rnacentral:rRNA from 1 species